UGGGUGAUCUGCCCUGCACUUCGGGAUAAGCCUGGGAAACUGGGUCUAAUACCGGAUAUGACCUUGGGAUGCAUGUCCUUUGGUGGAAAGCUUUUGCGGUGUGGGAUGGGCCCGCGGCCUAUCAGCUUGUUGGUGGGGUUAAGGCCUACCAAGGCGGCGACGGGUAGCCGGCCUGAGAGGGUGACCGGCCACACUGGGACUGAGAUACCGGCCCAGACCUCCGUACGGGAGGCA
rnacentral:rRNA from 1 species